rnacentral:rRNA from 1 species
UACGACUACAUAUCAGGCAUAUCAAUAAGCGGAGGAAAAGAAACUAACAAGGAUUCCCCUAGUAACGGCGAGUGAAGCGGGAAGAGCUCAAAUUUGAAAUCUUCAAGGUUUUACCUUGACGAAUUGUAGUUUAAAGAAGUGUUUUCUGUUGGUGAAUUUUGGUAAAAGUUCUUUGGAAUAGGACAUCAUAGAGGGUGAGAAUCCCGUAUUUGACCAUUACUUCCAGCUGUUGUGAUACAGCUUUCAAAGAGUCGGAUUGUUUAGGGAAUGCAGUCCAAAAUGGGUGGUAAAUUUCAUCUAAAGCUAAAUAUUGGCGAGAGACCGAUAGCGAACAAGUACCGUGAGGGAAAGAUGAAAAGAACUUUGAAAAGAGAGUUAAACAGUACGUGAAAUUGUCAAAAGGGAAGCGUUUGACACCAGUGUUGUUUUUCUCGAAAAUCAAUUAAAAAUUUGUUCAUGCUAAGUUGUAUUGACUUCAUCGGCUUUCUGCUUAGUUUUGGGCUUCUUUUUGAUGCACUUUUCGGUUAACAAGUCAACAUCAAUUUCUUUUGCUGUAAAAGGGUAAGAGGAAGGUGGCUUUAAUUUCGGUUAAAGUGUUUAUAGCCUUUUACCUCUGCAGUCGGAGAGAUUGAGGUCUGCAGCGUAGAUCCUUCGGGGCUAGAUACGUUUGUGCUAAGUUAUAGCUUUGUAUAGACCGCAUGUUGACUAUGCUCAGUCUUGUAGCUUACUCGCAGAUAGUAUUUUACCUACGCUUAGGAUGUUGACGCGCGUGUGUGCGUG